rnacentral:rRNA from 1 species
GACGUAGGUGGCGAACGUUAUCCGGAAUUAUUGGGCGUAAAGGGCGCGUAGGUGGCCUGACACGUUAUCAGUGGCAAAUCGAGGCUCAACCUCGUGGAAACUGGUAAUACUGUCCGGCUUGAGUGCAGGAGAGGUUAACGGAACUCUAUGUGGAGGGGUAAAAUCCAUAGAUAUAUAGAUGAACAUCAAGAAAGGCGAAGGCAGUUAACUAUUCUGUUACUGACACUGAGGCACGAAAGCGUGGGGAGCAAACAGG